rnacentral:rRNA from 1 species
CCUACGGGAGGCAGCAGUGGGGAAUUUUGGACAAUGGGCGCAAGCCUGAUCCAGCAAUGCCGCGUGAGUGAAGAAGGCCUUCGGGUUGUAAAGCUCUUUUGUCAGGGAAGAAACGGUGGUUCCUAAUACGGACUACUAAUGACGGUACCUGAAGAAUAAGCACCGGCUAACUACGUGCCAGCAGCCGCGGUAAUACGUAGGGUGCAAGCGUUAAUCGGAAUUACUGGGCGUAAAGCGUGCGCAGGCGGUUAUAUAAGUCAGAUGUGAAAUCCCCGGGCUCAACCUGGGAACUGCAUUUGAGACUGUAUGGCUAGAGUGUGUCAGAGGGGGGUAGAAUUCCACGUGUAGCAGUGAAAUGCGUAGAUAUGUGGAGGAAUACCGAUGGCGAAGGCAGCCCCCUGGGAUAACACUGACGCUCAUGCACGAAAGCGUGGGGAGCAAACAGGAUUAGAUACCCUGGUAGUCCACGCCCUAAACCGAUGUCUACUAGUUGUCGGGUACUUAAUUGUCUUGGUAACGCAGCUAACGCGUGAAGUAGACCGCCUGGGGAGUCGGUCGCAAGNUUAAAACUCAAAUGAGUGAGNGNGAGAGNGCGAGACGACGACGAGGGAGGAGG